rnacentral:pre_miRNA from 1 species
AAAACAUUCAGAUCUUCGGUCUACCGAGCAAUACCAGUCGCUUGAUGGGAGAUCUUCCAUCUGUUGU